UAGGUAAAAAAUUUUACCAAAAUUUAAAAAACAAGUUGGCACACAGACUAAAAAGCUUUAAAGGCCAAGAAGACAAACUGUUUAUGAAAAAAUGUUUGGAAAAUUGUCUAAAUGAUGAACUUUGUAACCAACUCUGUCAUUCAGUGGAAGAAGGGCCUUGGCUACAAUACCUAAAAAAAAGGCAUUAGGCCAUACAAAAUUGUACAAACUUAUUUGUGAUUUUGGCCGGAUAAGAUUUCACGAUUUUAGUGAAAGUAAGGCUGAAAUAGCAGCAAGCAGCUGGCUCCGUCAUGCUACCGAUAUGCUCAAGAGCACGGAAAAAUGAUUUAUAAUUU